rnacentral:rRNA from 1 species
GUUGAACGCUGGCGGCGUGCCUAGUACAUGCAAGUCGAGCGAACAGACGAGGAGCUUGCUCCUCUGACGUUAGAGGCGGACGGGUGAGUAACACGUGGAUAAACUACCUAUAAGACUGGGAUAACUUCGGGAAACCGGAGCUAAUACCGGAUAAUAUAUUGAACCGCAUGGUGCAAUAGUGAAAGACGGUUUUGCUGUCACUUUUAGAUGGAUCCGCGCCGCAUUAGCUAGUUGGUAAGGUAACGGCUUACCAAGGGAACGAUGCGUAGCAGGCCUGAGAGGAUGACCAGCCACACUGGAACUGAGACACGGCCCAGACUCCUACGGGAGGCAGCAGUGGGGAAUUUUGCACAAUGGGCGCAAGCCUGAUGCAGCAAUGCCGCGUGAAUGAAGAAGGUCUUCGGGUUGUAAAAUGCUUUUAUUCGGAAAGAAAAGAUUUUGGUGAAUACCUGGACGUAUUGACGGUACCGGAAGAGAAAGCACCGGCUAACUACGUG